AGAGUUUGAUCCUGGCUCAGGACGAACGCUGGCGGCGUGCCUAAUACAUGCAAGUUGAGCGCUGAAGGUUGGUACUUGUACCGACUGGAUGAGCAGCGAACGGGUGAGUAACGCGUGGGGAAUCUGCCUUUGAGCGGGGGACAACAUUUGGAAACGAAUGCUAAUACCGCAUAAAAACUUUAAACACAAGUUUUAAGUUUGAAAGAUGCAAUUGCAUCACUCAAAGAUGAUCCCGCGUUGUAUUAGCUAGUUGGUGAGGUAAAGGCUCACCAAGGCGAUGAUACAUAGCCGACCUGAGAGGGUGAUCGGCCACAUUGGGACUGAGACACGGCCCAAACUCCUACGGGAGGCAGCAGUAGGGAAUCUUCGGCAAUGGACGAAAGUCUGACCGAGCAACGCCGCGUGAGUGAAGAAGGUUUUCGGAUCGUAAAACUCUGUUGGUAGAGAAGAACGUUGGUGAGAGUGGAAAGCUCAUCAAGUGACGGUAACUACCCAGAAAGGGACGGCUAACUACGUGCCAGCAGCCGCGGUAAUACGUAGGUCCCGAGCGUUGUCCGGAUUUAUUGGGCGUAAAGCGAGCGCAGGUGGUUUAUUAAGUCUGGUGUAAAAGGCAGUGGCUCAACCAUUGUAUGCAUUGGAAACUGGUAGACUUGAGUGCAGGAGAGGAGAGUGGAAUUCCAUGUGUAGCGGUGAAAUGCGUAGAUAUAUGGAGGAACACCGGUGGCGAAAGCGGCUCUCUGGCCUGUAACUGACACUGAGGCUCGAAAGCGUGGGGAGCAAACAGGAUUAGAUACCCUGGUAGUCC
rnacentral:rRNA from 1 species